AAUGGGUGAUUGUGCCUAGCUCCUUCAUUCGACCCAAGGAUCAGAAGAGGCCGAGAAUUAGGCUCAAGAGAGAGAUCUGUUUGCUUCUUACACAUCAGAUGGAAAAUAUCAGGUGGACUUAGAGGAGAAGCGAAAGAGGCAAGCAAGGAGGAUUUUAGAGGCAAUUAAAACAGAGAUGAUGAAGAGGCUGAGGGCGAAGGAAGAAGAGAUAGCCAAGAUUGGGAAGUUGAACUGGGCUCUGGAAGAGAAGUUGAAGUCGCUGUGCGUGGAGAAUCAAAUAUGGUGGGAUUUGGCGAGGCCACAAUCAAUGCUUGAUUCCUAUGAGCAUCUUCGAGCAUUUGCAACAUUUUGUUCUCCUUGGUCUGCAAGUGUUACGAUGCUUGAUUACUAUAGGUAAUUCAAGAUGGAAGGGAUGGGGCUUUGCAAAAGUACUUAGCAUCAUAUUGCUUUGAUGUAGAUAGCAGGAUGAGCAAGUAAGACCUAUGUGGUGUGUUAAAGGCCAUUGGAAUCCUGGGUUGGACGAAGUUUAAUGGGAUGCAUGCUAGGGAUCUAUGGUUAGUAU